CUCAUGUCAUUUCUCCUCUCUUCUCUAGUCUCCUGGUGAAGAGUGACUUCAAGUAGGUCUAUUUCUUCUGGGGUAACUGCUCAGCUUGCGUCUUCAUCUCUCCUUCCGACUUCCCGAUGGGUAACCGACAUCUGAACCAUCCAUGUUUCCCCUGCAGAAUUACCUCGUCGGUCUAGAAGGUGACGUGGAUCAGUAAGCUGGUGGCAAUUUUGGCCACCGC
rnacentral:lncRNA from 1 species